GGAGAGAUGCGAGAGCGGUUGAAUCGGGCGGUCUCGAAAACCGUUGAGCCCUCACGGGUUCCGGGGGUUCGAAUCCCCCUCUCUCCG
rnacentral:tRNA from 1 species